GAAUUCCUUCGGGGCAGGGUGAAAUUCCCAACCGGCGGUGAUAAAGCAAAAGCUUUUAAGUCCGUGACCCGGCUGCAUUUAUUGCGGGCGGUGGAUCUAGUGAAAAUCUGGAGCCGACAGUAUAGUCUGGAUGGGAGAAGGAACAC
rnacentral:ncRNA from 2 species